CAUGACUAUCUACAUGCAUUCUAAUUGGUAAAGUAUAAUUAUUUUCUUUGAUUCUCGAUAGGUUGGAAACUUAAAACUUAAAAGGCUUUAAAAUCAUCUAAUAAAUCUCAUGUAUCUUUAGAUGCUUGCUUCAGAUUUCUAUAUAUAAUCCUUACUCACUGCUAAUUUCUGCAUAAGCUAGCUAUUUACUUCAUAAAUUUUGUGACAGGGAUUGAUCGGAAUUUGAUCGGCAGCCAUGGGUGAUAUGAAGGAGGAAACAAGUGAAAUGGUGAUUGGAGAACAUGCCAUUGAGACUGUGAGUGUGGACAAGACAACAAAUAAUGAAUUUGUGUCUGAAAAUACAACAACAGAAUUGGAGUUCUCUGAGAAAGAGACAUUCGAUGAGAUUUUGUCUGAGAACAAAACAGUGGAAAGUGUUUGUGAGAAAGAAACAAAAGAGGCUGUGCCUGAGGAGACAGCCAAGGAGACUGUAACAGAGAAAAAGCUUGUAGUUGUAUUUGUUUUAGGUGGCCCUGGUGGGGGAAAGAGCACCCAGUGUGCUAAGAUCGCUAAAGAAGUCGGCUAUACUCAUCUCAGCAGUGGAGACCUACUUCGCCAGACCAUUAAAAGCGACCCUGUAAAUGGGCCUAUGAUUGAAGCCAUGAUCAAGGAGGGCAAGAGUGUGCCUCCAGACAUAACAAUGGAGAUUCUUCAGAAAGCAAUUGAGGAAAGUGAAAAUGAUAAAUUUAUUCUUGAUGGUUUCCCUCGUGACGAGGAGAUUAGAGCAGCUUUUGAAUCUGCUGUAAGUCUUCUACAGAAUCUUAAAUCUUUUGAAAAUUUCGUAUCUGAAUCUCGUGCAUUUCAAGACGAGUGCGCUUUUCAGAUCAAUGUUAUGUUUUGUUUAUGUAAAUUGUUCAAUGUUCUGUUCUUUCUGCAGACCAAAACAGAGCCAGAACUUGUUCUGUUCUUUGAGUGUUCUGAAGAAGAGAGGGAAAGGAGAAUCUUAAGCAGGAAUCAGGUUGGCUGGAUAAAUUUUUCAUAUUUAUUUUAUAUAUUUACAUUUCAUGGUAUAAAUUUCUCAUUAUAUUAUUAAAAAUCGUCACAAAUUUUCUGUUGUUAAUGUAGGGAAGAGUUGACGACAAUUCUGAGUCUGUAAGGAAGAGGUUUAGAUAUUUUCAGGAGCAUACUCUUCCCGUGGUUGAUUAUUACAAAAGAAAAGGGCUAGUUUUGCAGAUUGAUGCUGGGAGGCUAGAGGAGGAGGUCUUUGAGACUCUGAAAAGCAUUCUAGGUCCCUCAACAACCAUGCAAGCUGAAGAAGCACCCAUUACUGAAGAACUUGGAAAGAAAAUUUCAGAAUUAGGAUUAUAAAAAUGUUCUGUAUAUACUUUAAAGUAAAAAUGAAGUUAUUUAUUAUGUAUUGAUUCGGCAUGUUUCAUUUAGCCGAUUCAAUCGUUUGAUUUUCUACAACAAAUAUAAGUAUUGUGUGCUACAAGUGCCUGUGAUUUUGUUUUGAAAAUUUUGUAUGAGCAUAACUUGAUUAGCUGCAAAUCAUGCAAUAUAAUUUUGUAAUUUGUCUUUUUUUUUUUGGGUUUUAAGUUUUGUUUGGAAUUCUUUGUUGGGUAUAAUAAGCUGGGACUCGAAUCGGUGGUGAUGGUUCUAGUACUAUUGAGCUCUCUGAAGACAAAUGUAGCACAAUGGAAGCUGAAGCACAAGCCAACAGUGAUGAAAUGGAAAGAGGCACUUCAGUAUUGGAACUUUACAUCUGUUGUAAAUGUUCCACAGAGAACGAUGAAGUAAAUUUCAAUGUCAUAGCCAAAUCAAUUUGUUUGCAUUUUGUUCAUAAAUAGGGUGACUUUAUAUUAGAACAAGCUUACAAGAUAUUAAAUGUUUAUAUUAAAUUUCAUAUAAAAUUAAUUAAAAUGUAUA
rnacentral:misc_RNA from 1 species